UUCUCCUCGCAUCUCACAGCUUAGGCCUUCUCGCUCGCCCUGGUCUUCACUCUCUCCACUACGCCUGCUCCAGCUUUGGUGCGACUUUUCUACCCUUUUUUAUGGUGAAAUCUGAAGGACGGGAAAACUUUUGCGCGCAGUGUGUAGCGUUACUGCGACACUGGAAAUGACGCAUGGAAAACCUCGACUCCGGUUUCAAUUUCCCACCAUGCCAGGGGGCUUGAGUUGAACAGUGGAGCGUAGAGUCAAACACAUGCUUCCAAGCAGUUCCACUAUGCGAAAGCAUUCAUCAACCAUUUCUGAGAAACAUAAUGGAGCAACACUUCACGCCCUGUGUAACAGCACUAAAUCAGAGGAACUGGUCAGUCCUCGUGUUCACCUGUACACUGUGUUCAUUUCACAGUCAUGUUCAUUGACGUUUCAGCAGAAGGAGACACGUGUUGUUCCUUGUGCUCUGCUGAACAUGGCAUGUGCAGUGGUAAACCCCAAACUGAUCUUGAGAGCUGAUAUCAUGUGGUUGUCUCCAUCCUAAACAGGAAAAAAGGCAGGCUGAGGAUAAAACCAUCUGAUGGAAGCUAGAGAUAAUCUUAAUGAGAAGCAUGUCACAGUGAGGUUUGAACAGAUUUGGUUUGCGUAAUUAAAGUUGCCUUGUU